UCGGGAAUUUUGGGCAAUGGGCGAAAGCCUGACCCAGCAACGCCGCGUGAAGGAUGAAGUAUUUCGGUAUGUAAACUUCGAAAGAAUAGGAAGAAUAAAUGACGGUACUAUUUAUAAGGUCCGGCUAACUACGUGCCAGCAGCCGCGGUAAUACGUAGGGACCAAGCGUUGUUCGGAUUUACUGGGCGUAAAGGGCGCGUAGGCGGCAAAUCAAGUCAUCUGUGAAAUCUCCGGGCUUAACUCGGAACGGUCAGAUGAUACUGCUUUGCUAGAGUGCAGAAGGGGCAAUCGGAAUUCUUGGUGUAGCGGUGAAAUGCGUAGAUAUCAAGAGGAACACCUGAGGUGAAGACGGGUUGCUGGGCUGACACUGACGCUGAGGCGCGAAAGCCAGGGGAGCAAACGGGAUUAGAUACCCCCGUAGUCCCUG
rnacentral:rRNA from 1 species